CUUUAACCCAUUGGCAAGUCCGAACGGUAACAGAGAAGCAGCUUGCCGCUACACCGACGAGUGGCGGACGGGUGAGUAAUGUCUGGAAUUCUACCUGAUGGAGGGGGAUAACCCCUGGAAACGGUAGCUAAUACCGCAUAACGUCGCAAGACCAAAGAGGGGGACCUUCUAGCCUCUUGCCAUCGGAUGUUUCGAAUGCAGUUAGCUAGUAGGUGGGGUAACGGCUCACCCAGGUGAUGAGCCCUAGCUGGUCUGAGGGGAUUACCAGUCACAUCCGACUUGACANACCGCCCAGACUCCUACGGGAGGCAGCAGUGGGGAAUAUUGCACAAUGGGCGCAAGCCUGAUGCGGCCAUGCCGCGUGUAUGAAGAAGGCCUUCGGGUUGUAAAGUACGCCCAGCGGGGAGGAAGGCGACAGGGUUAAUAAUUCUGUCGAUUAACGCUUCCCGCAGAAGAAGCACCGGCUAACUCCGUAUUAGCAGCCGCGGCAAUACGGAGGGUGCUGGCAUUAAUCGGAGUUACUGGGCGUAAAGCGCACGCCGGUGCUUCUUCAAGUCGGAUGCGAAAUCCCCGGGCUCAACCUGGUAACGUCAAUCGAAACUGGCAGGCCAGGGUUAUGUAGAGGGGGGUAGAAUUCCAGGUGUAACGGUGAAAUGCGUAGAGAUCUGGAGGAAUACCUGUCGCGAAGGCUUCCUCCCGGACAAAGACUGACGCUCAGGUGCGAAAGUGUGGGGAGCAAACAGGAUUAGAUACUUUAGUAGUCCACGCCGUAAACGAUGUCAACCCGAAGGUUGUGCCCUUGAGGCGUGGCUUCCGGAAUACACGCGUUAAGUCGACCGCCUGGGGAGCAUGGCUGCAAGGUUAAAACUCAAAUGAAUUGACGGGGGCUUGCGCAAGCGGUGGAGCAUGUGGUUCCAUUGUGCAAUACGAAGAACCUUCCCCACUGCUGCCUCCCGGAGAACUUAGGAGAGAUGCUUUGGUGCCUUCGGGAACUCUGGACCGGUGCUGCAUGGCUGUCGUCAGUUCCAGUUGUGAAAUGCUGGGUUAAGUCCCGCAACGAGCGCAACCCUCAUCCUCUGUUGCCAGCAGACCAGCUAGGGAUCCAAAGGAGGUCGCCUGUGAUAAACUGGAGGAAGGUGGGGAUGACGUCAAGCCGUUAUGGCCCCACCUAGUAGGGCUAAUCCCAUCUGCAAUG
rnacentral:rRNA from 1 species